AAAACAUAAAAAAUUAAAAAGCUACGGGUACCCUGUGAAUAAUUAUUAAAUAUAAAAAAAAAAAAAAAAAAAAAAAACCCAAAAAUGGGAAAAAAUUAAAAUGAAAUGAAAAACCCAAAAAUGGGAAAAAAUUAAAAUGAAACGAAAAACCCAAAAAAGGGUACAAAGUAUUUAACACGGCGUUGUGUGUGUGAAAGUGCGCAAAAAUGUGUGUAAUACAACUACCCGCCGCGGUGAGGAUGCUGCCUUUCGCAGCUGGCAUUCCCCACGGGCGCAAAAAAAGUUGUAAUAAAAUAAUAAAACAGUGAACCUGCCGCGGCGAUAUGUCCACGCACCUCUCAGUGUGGCGUAUUCGCGGGCACAAAAAAUUCUGUAUAAAAUAAAAGAAACAAUAACCCGCUGCGGCGUUAAGUCCACUUAAGUGGGUAGCUUAAUCGCGAGCGCAAAAAUUGCACUAUAAAAAAGAGAGAGAAAAAGACUUUGGCAACAAAAAAUAAUUAUUUUAGUUUGAGAAGGGAGAUAGCACUGGAAAAUAAUUGGGAAUACUUUUUUUUCCAAUUCUUUUUUAGUGUUGUUCCGGGUUUCAAACUAGGAAAAAAGCCGAAUGUGAUAAUAAAAUUAAAAUAAUAAUAAAACAAAAAGUGGUGUGUGGCAAUCUGCUGGAAAGGCUCACGAAUGCGGAAUGCAUUCAAAAAGGGCUGCCCAGUGGAUUGUGUGGCAACCGUACCUUAGUAGGCAAAACGCCAGAACGGACAAAUACGGACCAUCGCGCCCAGUACCCAAUAACCGCACUAAGAAAAAACUCACACAAAGUAUUAACGCACAACGCCCCAAGAAGAAAAAUCUUACAAAACCAUACGAAUUUUUCAAAAAACAAAAUACUAAUAAAAAAUUUAAUUUCAGAACUCUGUAAGAACACCACAAGACUACAAGAAAACGGCAAAAAAAACACACACAAGUUGGGAAAAAACCACAGAAUCUUUGCGAAGCAAGAAAGAAACCAACGGAAAUAAUUAUAACAGUAUCCAUCAUAAUAGCAAUCUACCUUGUUUGGAGGAAGAUAACAUCAACCAAAGGGAUCCCAAGGCUGCGAGACCCACCUGCGAACCUCGAACCGACAAAGGCUUAAGAAUCUGUGGGACACAGAUCUUGUGGUGGGGAGGAGUUAACACCGGCUAGCGCCCCCUUCCCUUCACCCCCUCUCGACAUCCACGAUACCCGACGACGACCCUUCUCAUUCAACCCCUCGGCCACCCACAUCGUACACAUUCAAGUCGAGUGGCCACACAGCGACAACAUUACGCUCAAGUGGUCACAUGAAGACGACACCAACUCAAGUGGCUGCAAUGACCCGGCCGCUGGGCCACAAGAGCUACAGCGGCAGCACCAGCAAUAGCGACAGCAGCAGCACCAGCAAUAGCGACGGCGGCAGCAGCAGCUAAACAGCGGCAGAGAUGCAACAGCAGCGAUGCAGCGGCAGCGACGCGACGAUGGAGACAGAACGACAGCGGCAGCGCGAGAACGACAGCGGCAGCGCCAGAACGUCAGCGGCAGAAGAGCAACGGCAGCAACAA